UACGGAAGGUCCGGGCGUUAUCCGGAUUUAUUGGGUUUAAAGGGAGCGUAGGCGGGAGCUUAAGCGUGCCGUGAAAUGCCGGUGCUCAACGUUGGCACUGCGGCGCGAACUGGGUUUCUUGAGUGCGUGGGAAGGCGGCGGAAUUCGUGGUGUAGCGGUGAAAUGCUUAGAUAUCACGAAGAACUCCGAUUGCGAAGGCAGCUGCCUGUUGCGCUACUGACGCUGAAGCUCGAAGGUGCGGGUAU
rnacentral:rRNA from 1 species